UCCACUGUUCUGUCAGAUAAUGCCAACUUAACUAAACUCUGAACCUUGUUUUAGGAGAACCAAGGUACUCACAAUUUUUCAAAAAUCUUUUUAUCUUGAAUUAAUUAUUACUCAUAGGAUGUGGUAAAAAUUGCACGAAGAGUCUCACAUACACUUCAAAUCAUUUUCUCCAGAGGUGACAUCUUAUAUAGCUACAGUACAGUAUCAAAACCACAGCAGUGGUUUUGGUACAUUAUUGUUAACCACAAGCCUUGUUAAACUGUCACCAU